AGCCCCGCCCACUGGCAUUCAGUCACUUAAAGGGAUAGUUCACCCAAAAAUGAAAAUUUGAUGUUUAUCUGCUUACCCCCAAGGCAUCCAAGAUGUAGGUGACUAUGUUUCUUCAGUAGAACACAAAUUAUGAUUUUUAACUCCAGUUGUUGCAGUCUCUCAGCUGUAUAAUGCAUGGCAAUGGUAACAAAAUCUAUGAGAGUAAAAAAACAUGCACAGACAAAUCCAAAUGCGGCUCGUGACGAUACAUUGAUGUGUAAAGACACAAAACGACUGGUCUGUUCAAGAAACUGAAUAGUAUUUAUAUCAUUUUUUACCUCUGAUUCACGCAAUGUCCGAACUGUUAGAGCUCUUGUGAACGCGCUUCACAGCAGCAGGUGGAACUACUGUGAGGAAAUUCUUGCACUCUUUCUUUGCCAGACAAUGACAGUUCCAUCUUUCUAAACUGUGAUAUCAUGAAACUUUUCUAUGCUAUUGUUUUAAUUUGUCUUCCUUUGUUGAGUUCUUUUUUUUUUUUUUUGUAUCUUUCAAAUAUAUUUACAAUAAUGGGUAGGCCUUCUAUUUUGUGGCUGUGGUAUUUUGGAAUAUUUUCAGGAAGGAAGAUACACUGUAUAAUGGCUGUUCCAUUUGCGUCAGUGUUACAGACGACGCACUAGCAGUCACUUUAACAUGCCGUGACUGCUCAUUAAUGCAUUUCAGAAGACUACUAAUGCAUUUUUGAAAGGUCAGACUGUUUAUUGAGGCUUAAGGUCGGUUUUAUACUGCAUGCUAUAGCGGUACAGUUCAGUUUCAGCCUAUUUCUGCUUUGCACAGUGUACUAAACUCAGCAGAAAAUACUGUUAAAAUGGUCUGUAAGCCAAUUUAUCAAUACUAUCUUUUGCUUUAAUAGGUUUUAAUGAACCAACUAAAAUAAUGGAGUAGAUUUUUCUUCAAUUGUUUGAAAAAGAAUUAACAUUUGUCAGGCUAGAUGCAAGUUGCACAUGCAGUGACAAGCACACAGACACAUUCUAUUCAGUAAAUCUGGCUGAAUCAAAAUUAUUUUAAGAGUUCAUAGCUACAAUUUGGAUUCUGAGUUCUGUUUUGCAUAGAUGAAUUAUCAUUUGUUUGUAAAUAUGAUAGCCCCUUCUUGUGGAAGUCAGAUUUUACAAUAAUGUAGUUUGUAGUAUUUCUCAAUGGCCAGCUCUAAUCAGGCUGAAGGCUUCUAUAGAAAAGUCUGGAUAAUUGUUCUUGGCCUUCAAGACUCCUCACACGUGACUUAUUGACCAAACCACUAUGUUAUUUUUCCAGAGAAAUCAAUCGAAGCUGAAAACAGAGCAGUUACUCAUAAAUAAUGAAAUGUGCUUUUUUGUGGAAUGAAUGUGAAAUUAUUUAAAUGAGCAAACUGCUUUUCC
ensembl:lncRNA